AACGUAGGAGCCUAGCGUUAUCCGAAUUCACUGGGCGUAAAGCGCGUGCAGGCGGUUCGGUAAGUUGGAUGUGAAAUCUCCUGGCUCAACUGGGAGAGGACGUUCAAGACUGUCGGACUAGAGGACGGUAGAGGAAGGUAGAAUUCCCGGUGUAGUGGUGAAAUGCGUAGAUAUCGGGAGGAAUACCAGUGGCGAAGGCGGCCUUCUGGGCCGUUCCUGACGC
rnacentral:rRNA from 1 species